UUCGCAUAGUUUGAGGAGUGGCAGUAGGAGGAGGGACGCAGCGGCCGAUAACUACCAAGCAGUGGGCGAGAUAUGAUUGGGGUGGGGACGUGGAGAGCUGUUUUUGAGGCGUUAUUAGUUGGUCGUUUACGUUAUCCAUAACUUUUAACAUGCGUUUAUUCUGUGGUCUAUUGCGACAUCCUAAAUUAGGCUGCCCGCCAAGAAAGCCUGGUAUAGUAAAGGGUACUGUUCAUGCAGUAUUCGGAAGGUAUUUGCUUGUGACAAACACUAUUACAGGGGGAGUAUUAUUAGCUGCGGGAGAUAUGAUUCAACAAGAAAUUGAGCGUUACAGGCACAAAGAAGUUUCGAAACGAAUGAACCGAUACGACUGGCCACGAGUGGGGCGCAUGUUUUUUGCUGGACUUAUACAAGGACCACCACAACAUUACUUCUACAAAAAGUUAGAUGCUGUGCUCCCAAAUAGAGACUGGAAGAGUGUGUGUGCGAAAAUAUUUUUGGACGAGACUGUGGCAUCACCUAUCUGUAUUGUCCUCUUUUUCUGUGGUGUGGGUAUUUUUGAGAAGGAUGCCUACAGUGAAAUAUGGUCAGAAAUAAAAAGUAAAUUCUGGACAGUUUAUGCUAAACCCAAAAAAAGAGUAGCACACACAGAAAUGGUCUGUUUGCGCUUCCACACUGAAGUCCUUAGAAAGGAGAAAGGAUGUUCUCAGAAAGCUUUUGGUCCCCAGUCUUUCUUCUCAGCAUGGCACAGGCGGAUUGGUUGGUGUGGCCUCCAAGUCAGUUCAUUAAUUUCUACUUCGUGCCUCCAACUUACAGAUUAAUGUAUGUCAACUUUGUCACAACGCUGUACAAUGUUUUCCUGUCAUAUAUCAAGCAUGAAAUGUGAUACAAAUUAGACAGUACCAUCACGACAUCAUAAGGAAUACUUAUAUUGAACAAGGGGCGUGAUUUUACUGCAUACUGUGCCAGUGAAGAGAGCAGUAGAAGGCAGAUGUCACUAAUGUAUGAGACCAGUCAACUGAGAGCCCAUGUCCGUGAAGCACAAUCACAUGCAUGCGUUCUAAGAUAAAUUUGCUUGAACAAUAGUAGGAUAAUUAUCAGAUGAAUAAAUAAAAUUGCACUCAUCACAGUGA